GGCCCUCAGCCCUUGGCCCAGCUGUUCUAGGCCUGCUUUCAGGGAUCCAGGAAGAAAGUGACCAACCCAUGCAAACUUAGGGCAAAACUAACCAUAUUUAACAGUAGAAAUGCCUGUUAACUAUACAAUACACAUGGAAUUAAUUGGAGCCUUGCGGAAUUUUGGAAAGAAUAACCAGCCUCAUCUAUAUCUCUACUUGGAGAAAUGGCUUCUUGGCCUGGGCUAAUGGUGUUACUUGACAAUCAGAAGGGGAAAAAGUCAUAACUUCACUCCCUUUUCCUCAGGCCAAAAUGCGAAUUUGAAACUCAUUCCGAAUGCCUUUCCAGGGAGGUGGCCACAGCUGAUGAAAGACCUCACGCUUGUUCCAACAGGCCCUGGGAGCUGAAUUGUAUCCCUGAAACUGGCCUAGCUUCCUUCAGCUCAACAGAGCAGCUGAAAGCAAUCCUCAGCAGCCACUGGGAGAAUCAUCCCUGGCAACCGAGAACAACAAUAGACAUCUAAACAGAGAGAGACUUCAGGAGUACAACUGACCCAGAGAAAUGAAAGAAAGGAGACACCUGCUCCAUUUUCCCUUAACAACAUUUACAGAACUUCUAGAGGCUGCCUGGGUGCCUUAGAUUGUGCCCUCUUCCUCCAUCUUCAAAGCCAGCAAUGACAGACUUUUGAGUUUGCCACAUCUGCGUCACAACUUAAUUCUUGAAAAGGCCGUAUAAAAUGCUGCUUCCUCAGGAUGCCUGCUCUUUAUCAGCAUCCCUGUCUCCAUGGUGAUAGCCUUCUUGCCGUAAUCAGAGGGAUGACCUACUUAACCAUGGAAAUAUUGGCUUCAUUCGAGUUAACUUUGCUGGUAAUAUGCACCCAGUGUUCCAUCUUCAUGACCCUGUUUCUAGCCUCUAUCCAAACAUCAGCUGUUCUGUUUGUGUGUGUAUGUGUGUGUGGGUUUCAUUUGCACUAUACUUCAAUAUAAAAAUUAUGUGAUCAUAA
ensembl:lncRNA novel transcript